GUUAAAUGUCCCACGAUUUUGUAGAUAAAUAACUUAGGUGUAAUCUAUAAAUUACUGAUACUCUUUUACUUAGAAAUACUACUGUUAGUUAAAUUAACAGAAAUUAUUUUAGCAAAUAAUAAAUACGUAGUACUAAAAUAAAAAUCAAUUAAAUAUAAACUGUGAAAAUUGCAAUGUGUGAAAAUUCGUAUGUCCCAAUCUACCAUUCGCAAUUUCAAACUUAAUUAUUUUGAUAUAGUUCAAAGAAACUUUACUGAGAUUUUGGUUAUAAAUCAUAUUACAAGGUAAAAGGGUUCACGUAGUAUUUCUUUUUUGGUAAUUUGGUUAAAAUUUUACGGUUAUUAAUGAAUUUUAAAUAUGUCCCAGAGAAAGUUCCAAAAAUGGAUUUCCAUUUUUGUUACCCAUUUUAGUGUGAAAUAUUAAAAAAAAAACAUCAAUUUAGUUAUAUUUUUUUGAACUAGCAAUAACGUAGAUGUCAUUAAAUGCCGCCAUUUUGACGUAUCGCGUCAGUUGUUGUUCCGAAGUUUGAAGUGUAGACACGUACUUUUUGUUGUAGAGCGAAUCUCGUUCCGACUUUUGUUAUUCCUGUUUCAAGCACAAGAAAAUGCCACUAACUCCGGCAGAAAAAAUGAAGCGAUAUAGAGAUAAAUUAAAACAGAACCCGGAUAAGUUGGAAGAAAUAAGAAAGAAAAAUUUAGAAAGAAUAAAAUCAAAAUAUAAAUAUAAAAAAAUUUCGGAAUUGACUGAAACAGAACAAAAAAAACAGAGGAAAAAGUGGAAAGAAGAAAAACAAAAACAAAAGAUCAAAAAAUCACAAAAAACAGCAUGUAGCGGAAGCUCUUCAACCCCAAUGGCAGAUAUUUUAACAGACACAAUGAAAAUAUCAGUGGGAACGUCCUCCUCGGAAAUAACACUAUCUGAGACGUCGACUGAAACACGAUCAACAAUAUUAAGAUUGACAAAAACUGUAGGAAGUCUCC